ensembl:snRNA U1 U1 spliceosomal RNA
AUAAUUACCUGGCAGGGGAGAUACCGUGAUCAAGAAGGCGGUUCCCCCAGGGCGAGGCUCAGCCAUUGCACUUCGGCUGUGCUGACCCCUGCGAAUUCCCCAAAUGUGGGAAUCUCGACUGCGUAAUCUCUGGUAGCGGGGGACUGUGUUCGCGCUUUCCUCUG